AGGUGGAGCGUCGCCGAGUGUGGACGUGCUAGCUGGGGCUCUCUGAUCAUCCUCGUUGAGCAGUCUUAUUCCAAACGUAGACAAGAGGGAAAGAAUGCCAUAUGCUCCUCCUACGUGAAUGAUUAUUCUGUUGCUACCAACGUGCCAAGUGGUGGUCUAGAUGUUGGGCAGCCCGAAGAAACCCAGCUGUUGGCCACUGUGUUGUCGCUGUCAGGGAUGAAAUGGCCGCUUGAGAGGAGGCAUUAUUGCGUCCAUUGUUCUCUCGAAGCUGCUACCCAUGGUGGAAAACGCCAUAGUCGUCCACCAAACACAUGGGGAGAAUGGAGUCGAGCUGAAAGGAAGACUGGAAGAUGGAACGAUGUAGGUGAUCUUCAGCUGCAUGGUAACUAAUGCAAGACAAGGAGCAGUGUUGAUGCUGCUCCAAGCCACCGGUGCAGGCCUGGAUGGAGCAAUUCUGUGCACACCAAGCAUGGCAGGAGAAUUCAGGCGUCAGUUGAACAUCAGGAGCAGUCUGUUGGGGAAAAUGGAAGGAGAUUGUAAAAUCUGAAGAAAUUUUUCUACCAUCACAAACCUUGCGAGAAAUUAGUUUAGUACUGUGACCGCAUAGAAUUCAGUGUUUGACUUAACAUUGUAUAAUCCAAUCGUUGCAUUCCAUAUUCUGUGAACUCUGCUUAUUGUAUAUCCAAGAGACCUGAAAUAAACUCAAGCUUGGCCCCUUUCAGACAGGGCCACUAGGCUGCUAACAUGUGUUUGAAGCUCUGCUUACUUUUCUAGAAAGUGAUUAUAAAUGGCUUUCAUAGAACAUGGACGUGGCAGUGUUGGGAUAGGGAGUGUCAAAUUGAGUUGGGCGUCAGCAGCACUACAGUCGUGACACAUACACACUGCCAAGAUAGUGGCGUGGAUGCAGCUAUGUAGAAAAGCUACAAUUGAAUGCCAGGUAACAUGAUGAGCAGCACUACUUGUUUGUGAUCGUGGCUGCGUGUGAAAACCCCCAGCUAAGUGAAAGGAAAGUGAAGCUAAAUGAAAGGGGCAUAAGGUACACAUUUUUUUUUUCCCAACCUAGAUGCUUUGUGUUUCUCCGGAGACUCUUUGAGGUAUUAUGGACUUAGUACGAAUCAAAGCGUUGACUCAUUAAUUUUGCAUUGUUAAAUAACUUUUCCAAAUAUUCACAGAUAUUUAAUUCUAUAUAGACCAAUGAGAACUGCCAUUUAUUUGGCAUUAUUUAAUUUUAUUAUAAAAGUUAUUUACAGAUGAGGAAAUCAGUAGAAAGACAUACAUUAACUAUUACAUCUUCAAUCUUUUAGAUAUUAGUAUAUCUUGAAGCAUGUGGUUUACUUGCUGUAUCUAUUUUAUUAAGAAAUUUAGUUUAAAUGUAUAGUCGGCAAAAGAAGUAUCGAUCGUCCAUGGGUCAAUUGAAUAGAUUUUGAGUGAAAUCUAUAGACAUGAUGUGUUGGUUAGGUGGCUACCAAUGGGUGCCCGAUACUCCUUUUGCCGACUGUAACUUGGAAAACAUGAACCAAGGCUGUUUAUGAUAAUUGUUAUUUCUUUUAGAUAUUGAAAUUUCAAUAUAUUUUCUGAAAAUAAAUUGUACUACAAACUGUACAAGAGCAAUGUAAAUCUUGAAGGUGUAAGAGGA